CAAAAAAUCGGCAGAAAGCAUGCCUAGUGGGAAGAAACCUGUUCAGGCUGUUGUGAGUAUUUUCUUAUAAUUUUUUUCUUAGCAUGUCCUGUUUUAUGCAUAUUGUGUUAGAUAACAUUUUUUUGCAUCUUUGUGUUCUAUUGUUGGGUUUAUAUGUUUUCUCAGCUUGCUAGUAAGAAAGGAGGGGCUGUAAAAUCGGGUGUCAAUAAGAAAGGAGAUGUUGUUGGACAGUUAAAAACAUCCAAACCAGCUGAACCUGAAGAAGUUGAGGUGCUAUAAAAGAAUCGGAGGAGCUUGUGACACAAUCUGACUAAUUCUUUACCUUUGGAUACAUGGAUCAGAGAAUGGUGAUUGACACUUUGUUAUUCCUUUUCAUGCAUGUGGGGGACUCCAAAACUUAUGCAGAAA